CAUUCGUGUACGCUACUUGGAGAUGCCAGCUGCCCUCAUGGACAACUUUGACCAGGGAAGUCCUUUCUCACAAAGUGAUUCUCAAAGUCCUCAUGAUUGGAGCACACAGUCAAAGGACCACAGGCAUCAUCACAGAGAAAAAAACAGAGAUGCAGCUCGCAAGAGUCGCAGAAAACACACAGAAAAGGCAGACUUGCUGCAUGAGGAACUCCAAAAUCUAGAGCAGUCUAAUGCCACAUUCGUAAAAGAAAUUGCUGAACUGAAGAAGGAGCUUCAACUCUACACCACAGCUUUGGAACAACAUAUACCUCACUGCACUAAACUAUGUCCAUUUGAACCAUCGGUUACUGUUACUGGAGGUCCUUCCACAGCUACACCCUCUACCUCAGAUAUAACAUUCAGCACUGACCCCAACUUCUUGCCGGACCUUGCAUUCUUACCAGAAAGUAAUUCAGCGGGCAUAUCUCUAACAGACCUCCUCGACAGUAGCGACUGGUAUCCUUGGGACUCAGUGAAUGGGAACGGGUGCCUGCAGCAAUUCUGAGGUUCUGGACAGUCAGUUAUGUUCUUAUUUGAUGACAAGGCUUACACACUACUGAAUCCUUCAAACAGUUCUUUUUGUUGUGUUCAGAUGCUAAUGGUGCUAAAAUCCCUGAUCCAUUAAGGUGUGAAUAUGUUGUCUAAUUUAUUUAAACAAUACUUACAGAUGGCAAGAUUUAAUUUACAUGUAGCUAUAUUUUACAUAUGGGCAUUAUUUUUUUUAACAUGUAAGACCACAGCCUAAAUGUUAGGCUUAGUGAUUCCAUACUUUAAUCCAAUCCUUUUUGAUUUAUAAUGUGAAAAUGUUGUUAUUUCAUAAAUUAUAUUUUAAUAAUUUUAAGAGUUAUUUUUUAAAAUAUGGCCAGUGACACUCAUUCUCAUCCAGAUAUAUAAAGAUAUUCAAAAAUACUUUUAAGAUUAAAGCAACUGUGUGUAGUUUUGUGUAUUUUGUUGACUUUGGAGCCAGCUACAAUUAAGUGGAAUUUCCUUGUAAAUAUAUCACUGUUCAAAUUACAGUGGCUAGCUGUAGGCUACACAUGCAUUUGUUGCUGCUGUAAAUAAGUCCGCUCUUUUUGUGAAAUUUCAUGCUCACCAAACUUGCAUAUUCCCAGAGCAGUGUGGGGUAAAACCCAGAAGCUAUUCACUUUAUAAGAAGUCAGUGUACCAUCAAAAUGAUAUAACACAUCCAAACACAUGAAGGAAGGAGAAAGAAAGAUGAACAAACAGGCAACAAUCCAGUAUAGUUGAACAUUUGUAGAAAACAAAAUAUGUACCCAGUUCAGAGGAAUGUAACAAUCAGCCUAAAAAGGAGACCAAGUAUGCCAAAAGUCAUUAGGCCUCUGAUGUAAGUCAUAGGUUAGCUUUUCUAAUGGUUAAAGAGAAGCAGCCUGAGUCAGCCUGAUCUGUGGGGCUGACCAUAACAGAAUUUCUUUUUUUUUGCCAAAUAUGGUCAAAAAUUUAACACAUUCUGUACUUGUAGAUAUACAUUUGGAGGCAAUGCAAAGGAUUUAUCAGUAAUCUUCUGUACAGUUUUGUGACUCUCCCUCCAGUGUACUUUGAUCCUGUAGCCAUGUAUCCCAAAACACAUGCAUCACUGUACCAAUGUGAACCUUACAUUUAAAACACAACUGGGAAACACUGAGGAAUAUUUUAUGAAUGUGAAUUGGUGUUAGGUACGUCCUGCGAAUAAUAAUACAUCCUAGUUUUGUUUAUGGUUCAAAACUUUUUUUAUUAGCCUGAAUUAAAAAUAAUAUUUUAGUGGGGAUUAGUAAAAAAAAAAAAAAAAAAAAGUGUAACUGUAGACUGCCAAAGUGCCAUUGAAAGGAAAUAAAAGGAAAUGUUGGAUUAAACA
ensembl:lncRNA